UGGGGAAUUUUGGACAAUGGGCGAAAGCCUGAUCCAGCAAUGCCGCGUGUGUGAAGAAGGCCUUCGGGUUGUAAAGCACUUUUGUCCGGAAAGAAAUCCUUGGCUCUAAUACAGUCGGGGGAUGACGGUACCGGAAGAAUAAGCACCGGCUAACUACGUGCCAGCAGCCGCGGUAAUACGUAGGGUGCAAGCGUUAAUCGGAAUUACUGGGCGUAAAGCGUGCGCAGGCGGUUUGCUAAGACCGAUGUGAAAUCCCCGGGCUCAACCUGGGAACUGCAUUGGUGACUGGCAGGCUAGAGUAUGGCAGAGGGGGGUAGAAUUCCACGUGUAGCAGUGAAAUGCGUAGAGAUGUGGAGGAAUACCGAUGGCGAAGGCAGCCCCCUGGGCCAAUACUGACGCUCAUGCACGAAAAGCGUGGGGAGCAAACAGGAUUAGAUACCCUGGUAGUCCACGCCCUAAAACGAUGUCAACUAGUUGUUGGGGAUUCAUUUCCUUAGUAACGUAGCUAACGCGUGAAGUUGACCGCCUGGGGGAGUACGGUCGCAAGAUUAAAAACUUAAAGGAAUUGACGGGGUCAUAGCUGUUUCCU
rnacentral:rRNA from 1 species